UCAUGGGUGCACCCAUGAGUGGCCUGGCGCACGGCCGGGUGGGCCGUUUUCAUUUUCCUGGGUCCGAUCCCGCGGGAAAAAGUCUGCACAAAACUGUGUUGGUGAAGAUGAUGACGACAAUGGCAGUUGGGGGAGAAAUUUGGCAAUUGUUUUGGCCUUUCUCGCGGCCUGUCUUCGCUCCUUUGCCUUUGCAGCAAUGGAAGAUGAUGAGUUCAAUGUUGUGCUUUGACGCCGAGUAGAAAAUGUGAAUCGCAAACGCCAUCUUGGCCUUUAUGUAUGGAAGAAACUGCUCUCCCCGAUUUGCUGGUUUCGCCGACUGGCAUCGAGAAGUAGACGAGCUGCGCUUUCCAAGAGCCGCGGACACCAAGCUCUCAUGGCGGAUCUUAGUGGAUCGUGCUCCAACGCGUCUUGGCAUUGUGUGAGAACAGCACGAAGAGGACCUUGGGUAUUAACGCGUCUUGGCAUUGUGUGAGAACAGCACGAAGAGGACCUUGGGUAUUAACGCGUCUUGGCAUUGUGUGAGAACAGCACGAAGAGGACCUUGGGUAUUGCAGCCUUUCCGCAGAAGGAGAAUGACUCGCUUCUUUGUGCUAGUGUGCAAACAUCCAUGUGUUCUCCCAAUACUGCUGUUAGCUCAGCCAGAGGAUUAUCGCAGAUCUGAGUGUGACAAGCGAUCAGCUGUACUAGCUUUGUCGUGAAUGCUUGCACUGCUGUCAACUAUUAUCCAUUCUAGCUGUGCCUCGUAGCACUUCUUGCAAAAGACAUCAUUCUAUGGUAUUGUCAUGCUCUUACUUGGAGCUGCUGAGACCGUUUCAUAGUGGGAACACUUCAUCUGUGCCUGUUUGUCCAAAAACUGUCUUUACGUACAUGUCCUGCAAUACCGCCUAUAUUGGCUCGGCGUGCACUUUUGAGCUCGUCCGCUACGUUCCGUUUCAUACACUUCUGUAGUAACGCAAUGAAGAUUCUCAUUGACACUCCUUUACACGGCCAGCGUAUGUGGAUAUUAAUCUGUAGGUGGCUGCUAUUUGGGUUUUUGUCUUUCGCCGUUCACUAUUUUACCAAAAUAAUAUUCCAAUAUUCUGCA